rnacentral:rRNA from 1 species
GCUCAGAUUGAACGCUGGCGGCAGGCNUAACACAUGCAAGUCGAACGGUAGCACAGAGAGCUUGCUCUCGGGUGACGAGUGGCGGACGGGUGAGUAAUGUCUGGGAAACUGCNUGAUGGAGGGGGAUAACUACUGGAAACGGUAGCUAAUACCGCAUAACGUCUUCGGACCAAAGUGGGGGACCUUCGGGCCUCACACCAUCGGAUGUGCCCAGAUGGGAUUAGCUAGUAGGUGGGGUAAUGGCUCACCUAGGCGACGAUCCCUAGCUGGUCUGAGAGGAUGACCAGCCACACUGGAACUGAGACACGGUCCAGACUCCUACGGGAGGCAGCAGUGGGGAAUAUUGCACAAUGGGCGCAAGCCUGAUGCAGCCAUGCCGCGUGUAUGAAGAAGGCCUUCGGGUUGUAAAGUACUUUCAGCGGGGAGGAAGGCGAUAAGGUUAAUAACCUUGUCGAUUGACGUUACCCGCAGAAGAAGCACCGGCUAACUCCGUGCCAGCAGCCGCGGUAAUACGGAGGGUGCAAGCGUUAAUCGGAAUUACUGGGCGUAAAGCGCACGCAGGCGGUCUGUCAAGUCAGAUGUGAAAUCCCCGGGCUUAACCUGGGAACUGCAUUUGAAACUGGCAGGCUAGAGUCUUGUAGAGGGGGGUAGAAUUCCAGGUGUAGCGGUGAAAUGCGUAGAGAUCUGGAGGAAUACCGGUGGCGAAGGCGGCCCCCUGGACAAAGACUGACGCUCAGGUGCGAAAGCGUGGGGNNNAAACANGAUUAGAUACCCUGGUAGUCCACGCCGUAA